CCUACGGGGGGCUGCAGUGGGGAAUCUUAGACAAUGGGGGCAACCCUGAUCUAGCCAUGCCGCGUGAGUGAUGAAGGCCUUAGGGUUGUAAAGCUCUUUCAGCUGGGAAGAUAAUGACGGUACCAGCAGAAGAAGCCCCGGCUAACUCCGUGCCAGCAGCCGCGGUAAUACGGAGGGGGCUAGCGUUGUUCGGAAUUACUGGGCGUAAAGCGCACGUAGGCGGACCAGCAAGUUAGGGGUGAAAUCCCGGGGCUCAACCCCGGAACUGCCCUUAA
rnacentral:rRNA from 1 species